rnacentral:ncRNA from 19 species
AUUUAACAAGAUUUUACAGGUGCCCAAUGUGGGAGAAUAGGGAACCGGGUGAAAGUCCCGGACGGACCCGCCACUGUAAAGGGGAGCUAUUGUCAUUACCACUCUGUAAGGAGGAAGGAGGCAAGGAGGCUAUGAACCUAAGUCAGGAGACCUGCCUGUAAAAUACUUAGUAUC